rnacentral:rRNA from 1 species
UACAGAGGGUGCAAACGUUGCUCGGAAUUACUGGGCGUAAAGCGCGUGUAGGCGGACCAACAAGUCAGGCGUGAAAUCCCUGGGCUCAACCCAGGAACUGCACCUGAAACUGUCGGUCUUGAGUGGUGGAGAGGGAAGCAGAAUUCCUGGUGUAGAGGUGAAAUUCGUAGAUAUCAGGAGGAACACCGGUGGCGAAGGCGGCUUCCUGGACACUAACUGACGCUGAGACGCGAAAGCGUGGGGAGCAAACAGG